AGAGCUCGUUCAUUUCAUUGCCAGCAAAUCUUGAGCAAGUUCUCAUUUCUUUCCUCUCUUAGAAAGAUGAGAAACAAGGGGCGUGGUGCGACAGGGGCCUGGCCGUGAGUGGUGUGGAGCCUGGGUUGGCCCUGGGGAGCACUGGCUGCAGCUCCCAGUCCCUGGGUGCACUGCGGCCUGCUCCCCUGACCCUCCCCAGCUACCCCUGCAGCUCCUGGUGCACACGGUGGAACGAGGUGGUGAAUACCAAAUGACCCGGCACCCGUGUCCCUGCCAGGAUCCCGGAUUGCCAACAGGACUGCAUUGGCAUCCACUCAAAGAGGGGCCAGGGGACCCUGGGGAGAGGCCCAAAGCACCCCUAUCUUGGAAAUCCAAGGGACAGCCCUCACCCAGGCCGCAUGACUCAGCUGAACCAGACGAUGACACCUGAGGCCAGGCUUCUCCACGGGAGGGCAGGAGGUGGCCCUUGGUCAGCGCCCCAGCCCGCGAGGCAUCUGAGACAACGCCUUCUCACGGACAGCAUGCUGGGAACACCCGCGGCACUUCCCAGGACUCAGGAGCCGCUCGUCCAGAAGAGGCCGCGUCAUCAGGAAGCCAAGGUGUGGGCUGUGUCCUCAGGGAGAUGCCAGACACUUGCGAGGCGCUGAGGCUGCAGAGGCCUGUCUCUCCAGAGACCCAGACCCGACAGGGCCAGGGCACCUCUCCCCAGGAUGCUGCCAGGCAGCAGAAAGCUGCUCCCGCUUUGCCAGCACAGGAGCUAUUGCGGCCCAGGAGGGCGCGUGGAGCUCCAACUGCGACCCCAUCGGCUUCUCUCUGCUGCAGUCACGUGGGUGCCUAGCACAGCAUCCCGCUAUCAGAGACCCCUUCUUCCAGGACAGGAAUCCCAUAACCAAAUUGUGCAUGAAACUCGAGCAACUAUCUCCAGUGGGAGGGUCCCGGGCCACUUUCCCUAAAUACCAAGAGUGGAAUCGGGAUGCCCUUCUGCUGCAAUGAGCUCCCCAAGGAGUCCCGUUGCCUCAGCCUGAUUCUGGCAAGGACAGUGCCUUUCUCAACAUGCAUGUGCACACGUACGUGCCAGGCAUGGGAGGGAAGUCGGCCCAGAAUUUAUGCAGCCCCUCUCCCCAAGGAGUCCAAGUCUUACCCGUCCCAUCAUUCCAGCCUUUUAUAUACUCAUUACAGUGGUUUGGGAAACAUUUCAAAAUUAGACAAGCAUUAGCUUAGCUUAUAAAAUUAAAAAUAAACUGU